UCUGGUGUCUUGAGCGGGCGGGUCACACCUCUUCCCAUUCCGAACAGAGCAGUUAAGCCGCCCAGCGUUGAUGGUACUUGGCGUAAACCAACGCCCGGGAGAGUAGACCGACGCCAGAA
rfam:Candidatus Thrbacteria bacterium RIFCSPHIGHO2_12_FTLL_57_11 rifcsphigho2_12_scaffold_20321, whole genome shotgun sequence.